rnacentral:rRNA from 1 species
UACAGAGGGUGCAAGCGUUGUUCGGAAUUACUGGGCGUAAAGGGCUCGUAGGCGGCCAACUAAGUCGGACGUGAAAUCCCUCAGCUUAACUGGGGAACUGCGUCCGAUACUGGAUGGCUUGAGUUUGGGAGAGGGAUGCGGAAUUCCAGGUGUAGCGGUGAAAUGCGUAGAUAUCUGGAGGAACACCGGUGGCGAAGGCGGCAUCCUGGACCAACACUGACACUGAGGAGCGAAAGCCAGGGGAGCAAACGGG